GCGGAUGUAGCUUAAUGGUAGAGCCACAGCCUUCCAAGCUGAGGACGUGAGUUCGAUUCUCACUAUCCGCU
rnacentral:tRNA from 1 species